AUUAAUUAACUAAACUAUUAAACACAUAUCUCGACUAUUCGAAAAACGCAGCUUUUCACAAUAGAUCUAAACGUAAUUGGUAAAAAAAAUUCGGCAUAAAACAUUAACAACUGUCAGUAAUCACAGUAAAUAAGAAAAUGCUAGUAAAAAACUUACCUCAAGUUCUCAACUAAUCACAUCUCACAAGCAAACACCACAUCACUCACUUUUCAGAUUCGAAGAAAAUGGGCUUUUGAUACAUACUGUUCCUCCACCCCCAAAUGCUGAAAAACCAGAAAUCCAAGCAAGCAAGAGCCGAUGCUCGAUUGAGGAACUUGAAUGGAAAAUCUUCAGCAAGAUCGCGCAGAGAGAGAGAGAGUGUGUGUCUGUGUGUGUGUGGAUUGAGAGCAGGAGAAAGACAGAGGAGAGAGAGGGGGGCGAAGAAUGGAGCAUACAAAUAAUUAUUGUAAUAAUAAUUAUUCAUAAAGAAAAAGGACGCUG
rnacentral:lncRNA from 1 species